rnacentral:lncRNA from 1 species
CCUCAUCCCAGCCUUUCAGUAACUUAAUCAUCAAAAAUAAAUAUCAGAAGGGCUACUCUCGUAUUUCAAUCAGAUGCUUAUAUCCAACACCGCUAGAUGUCAGCAGUGCACUGCUGUAAAGGUCGCUAGGUCCAAUCUGUAAAUAAAGUAUAAAAAUGAAUGGUUCUGGAACAAUUUUUAUCAUCUAUUUUCCAUUAGCAAUAUUAUCGUACCCAGAUGUCACCUAAUGAAAGCAGAAUUACCGGUCAUUCAGGUUUGUCCUUUGUGCAUUCCAUGAUGUUAGUGACUGCAUUUUGAAUACUUGUGUUUUUCCCUCAGAGCUGGACAAAAUGCAAGUGCCCUUUUUUCUGCUCACUAAUUCCAAGUAGCAGUCAUCAACAGGCACGUUACAGGGAGUAAAGCGAUGCUUUUGGACGGGUGAUCGUAACAAGGAUGAUGAAGCAGCCUUCACUUGGAGGUAGGCUGUAUUUGUGUACUGGAAGCAGCAAUUGGGAAGAAGUCCCGGCGUGGAUCCUGAGCUAAGGAAACUGUAGCCUCACUGAACGUGCUGCACAUCUGUUCCGUGGCAAGGAGAGCCGAGUGCCUACAGCUUGCAGUGCAGAUUCUGCACAUCUUACAUCUGAGUGAACUUCAGUGGUAUCUGUCAAGGUCCUGGCUCAUCUCGUCAACAUCGAGGCAGACUUGGCAUUCUGGUCAGCUGAAAAAUUGAACUUCUUACAGUCCCUAGACUGCGAUCCAGAAAGAAUUUGAUGCUUGCUUCAGAAAGACACAUUAU